CCCGCACAAGCGGUGGAGUAUGUGGUUUAAUUCGAUGCAACGCGAAGAACCUUACCUGGUCUUGACAUCCCGGAGACCCUUAGGAAACUAGGGGUGCUUCCAUCUGGAAGAAUCUGGAGACAGGUGCUGCAUGGCUGUCGUCAGCUCGUGUCGUGAGAUGUUGGGUUAAGUCCCGCAACGAGCGCAACCCUUGCCUUUAGUUGCCAGCAGUUCGGCUGGGCACUCUAAAGGGACUGCCGGUGUUAAACCGGAGGAAGGUGGGGAUGACGUCAAGUCCUCAUGGCCUUUAUGACCAGGGCUACACACGUACUACAAUGGCCGAUACAAAGGGCAGCGACACUGCGAGGUGAAGCCAAUCCCGUAAAAUCGGUCUCAGUCCGGAUUGGAGUCUGCAACUCGGCUCCAUGAAGUUGGAAUCGCUAGUAAUCGUGGAUCAGCAUGCCACGGUGAAUACGUUCCCGGGCCUU
rnacentral:rRNA from 1 species